UACGUAGGGUGCGAGCGUUGUCCGGAAUUAUUGGGCGUAAAGAGCUCGUAGGCGGUUUGUUGCGUCUAUCGUGAAAACCUGCAGCUUAACUGUGGGCUUGCGGUGGAUACGGGCAGACUUGAGUUCGGUAGGGGAGACUGGAAUUCCUGGUGUAGCGGUGAAAUGCGCAGAUAUCAGGAGGAACACCGGUGGCGAAGGCGGGUCUCUGGGCAUUACCUGACGCUGAGGAGCGAAAGUGUGGGGAGCGAACAGG
rnacentral:rRNA from 1 species